AAAAUAUAAACAAAUAAGCAAUUGUUUUUGAUAAAUCUUCUAUACAGUUGUUAUCUUCUUCAAAUUGAACAUAUUACUUUAUUCUUAAUUUUCUAUAAAUACUGAAAAAUUGUAUACAUUUACUCCAUAAUUAGGACAACGCAAAAACCUCCUAGUAGGAUUAGCAUGAGUUCACGGAGUUCUGAUCUUCGCUUUUAACCCACAGCUGUAACGAGUCAACUCACCCCAAUUGUUCCCACCCCAACUAUUACCUUCACUCAUUUUUGUCUUUCAUUUUGAUGGAAUAGAAAAUAGUUUGCACGACUAUGGAAAGAAAAAGAAGGUCAACAAUGAAGACAAACAGAAGGUCAACAAUGAGAAAAAAGAAAGGGAAAAAACCGUAUAAAACAACCAAAAAGGAACCCAUUUCUUAUCUCUAUCUCAAAGGCCAAAACUUUUUGAAAAAUCAACUAUAAAAUUGCUAUCUUCCUUCGAUUGCAUGACUUCAAUCGCAGGUUGAAUUACUAGGUGGGUUGCAUGGAGUUGUAAAUCACAAUGAAGGGGUGUCUUUUGCCCUAAAUCGUGAAGUUUAGGGAAAUUUUGGUGCCCAAAUCAGUCUUCCGUUAACUAAUAAAGAUGGAGAUAGACAGGAGAUCGGAUUGCAACACAGGUAGAAUGGUGGAAUACAAAUUGUUGCAAUUUGAAAUCUGGACUUUAAUUUGAAAAAGGCGUUAAAUCUUGGGAUUUUUUUUUGUGUAAUUUUUAAAAAGAAAUAAAAAUUGAGAAGAUUAUUUCAAAUAAAAUUGGCGGUUAUGAUAGAGACACCAAAUUUUCUACCAAAUAAAUGACCAAAUAUUUCACAGGGUAUGAGGUCUACAAUUUUAUAGGCUCCACACUUGAUCAUUUAUUUAGUAAAAAAUUUAAUACCUCAGCAUUUUCCAAAAUUGGGUGUUUUCGUCUUAUUUCCGUGGCAAACCAUUGAGAGAGAGAGAGAGAGCAGAGCUCCAACGAGAGACUGUCCCUUUCCACCGCCGGAAAAUCUCAGCACCACCAGCUCCGCCGCAUCGACAUCCACAAGAUAACAGGUUGUGUUGGUUUGGAUUCCUUCUUCUCUGUACACUUGUAUCAUUGUAUGGAGCCACCGUCGCAGUAUAGUAUAGAAGAUUUGCAACUAGUCCUUCCAUCUUUUCUGUCUUUUCAUUCUCCCCCCAAUUUUUGGAAGGAAAAUGCGAAUUACUCCGACUAGGCCAACUGAUUAAGUAGGCCGACUUACGUGUCUACUGAAAAGUAGUCUUUCUUUCUCAAUGUUAAUUAGUCUUUAUUUGGGAUAUAGGUUGUUUUUAAAUUAUUUUUGUUUGUAACUAAAAAGUCUCGUUUGAGAUGAAUUUUUUAGUUUUUUUAUUUUUGUGAGAAAAAAAUAUAAAAUAAUUAUAAUUUAGAUGUGACAUUUUAUCUUUA